rnacentral:rRNA from 1 species
CGCUGGCGGCAGGCUUAACACAUGCAAGUCGAGCGGGCGUAGCAAUACGUCAGCGGCAGACGGGUGAGUAACGCGUGGGAACAUACCUUUUGGUUCGGAACAACACAGGGAAACUUGUGCUAAUACCGGAUAAGCCCUUACGGGGAAAGAUUUAUCGCCGAAAGAUUGGCCCGCGUCUGAUUAGCUAGUUGGUGAGGUAAUGGCUCACCAAGGCGACGAUCAGUAGCUGGUCUGAGAGGAUGAUCAGCCACAUUGGGACUGAGACACGGCCCAAACUCCUACGGGAGGCAGCAGUGGGGAAUAUUGGACAAUGGGCGCAAGCCUGAUCCAGCCAUGCCGCGUGAGUGAUGAAGGCCCUAGGGUUGUAAAGCUCUUUUGUGCGGGAAGAUAAUGACGGUACCGCAAGAAUAAGCCCCGGCUAACUUCGUGCCAGCAGCCGCGGUAAUACGAAGGGGGCUAGCGUUGCUCGGAAUCACUGGGCGUAAAGGGUGCGUAGGCGGGUCUUUAAGUCAGGGGUGAAAUCCUGGAGCUCAACUCCAGAACUGCCUUUGAUACUGAAGAUCUUGAGUUCGGGAGAGGUGAGUGGAACUGCGAGUGUAGAGGUGAAAUUCGUAGAUAUUCGCAAGAACACCAGUGGCGAAGGCGGCUCACUGGCCCGAUACUGACGCUGAGGCACAAA